CGGGGCGUCGUCUAACUGGUUAGGACAUUGCUUUUUCAAAGCAGGAAUGGGGGUUCAAGUCCCCCCGCACCGA
rnacentral:tRNA from 1 species